rnacentral:rRNA from 1 species
AUUGAACGCUGGCGGCAUGCCUUACACAUGCAAGUCGAACGGUAACAGGUCUUCGGAUGCUGACGAGUGGCGAACGGGUGAGUAAUACAUCGGAACGUGCCUAGUAGUGGGGGAUAACUACUCGAAAGAGUGGCUAAUACCGCAUGAGAUCUACGGAUGAAAGCAGGGGAUCGCAAGACCUUGUGCUACUAGAGCGGCCGAUGGCAGAUUAGGUAGUUGGUGGGAUAAAAGCUUACCAAGCCGACGAUCUGUAGCUGGUCUGAGAGGACGAUCAGCCAAAGUGGGACUGGGACACGGACCAGACUCCUACGGGAGGCAGCAGUGGGGAAUUUGGGACAAUGGGCGCAAGCCUGAUCCAGCAAUGCCGCGUGCAGGAUGAAGGCCUUCGGGUUGUAAACUGCUUUUGUACGGAACGAAAAGCCCCGGGUUAAUACCCUGGGGUCAUGACGGUACCGUAAGAAUAAGCACCGGCUAACUACGUGCCAGCCGCCGCAGUAA